rnacentral:rRNA from 1 species
CUAUAAAACUUUCAACAACGGAUCUCUUGGUUCUGGCAUCGAUGAAGAACGCAGCGAAAUGCGAUAAGUAAUGUGAAUUGCAGACACCGUGAAUCAUCGAAUCUUUGAACGCACAUUGCGCCCUUUGGUAUUCCGAAGGGCAUGCCUGUUCGAGCGUCA